GUUCAAUUCAUUCGGCUGUAAAGCGAGGGAAAACCACAACGACAAGGUGGGCCCAGGAUUCUGGUGACUGACAAGUCUUCAGUUCCAGUAGGCUUUCUUUGCUGAGGUUUGUGGGUCCUUUGGUGCCUAGACCCAACCUGGCCUCCUGUAAAGCCGAAGUCUUCUUCCAAAGUUGCAAACCAGAAUAUGGAGCCCAGUGGACCGGGUGCUGUACUUCUGACUGGUGUGAGCUGUACCUGGGUCUAUGGAGUCUGUUGGAGUUUCUGAAAAGGAAUGGCCAUCGGAGAGGAUGAUGAGGAUCUGUUCUGAGGAAGCCCGCUUGUGCACACGUGGGAAAGCUGCUUGCUGGCCCCGGGCCUGGAACCACCUUCCGCGCCCACUCGGCCUGGUCUCAUUCCAGAAGCCGCGUCCGCCCAGGUGAGGCGAGGCCUCUCUUCCAGCCGCUCAGCCCCGCCCCUUGGGCACGGUUUUGGUUUUCGGGUGCAGACAGGUCUGCAUUCCACUGAAGAGGCCUGCUUGGCCCAUCAAAGCCGGCGACAGAGCCACAUCACAGAAACCCACGAUGCCAGCCUGCAGUUCCAACGAUCUCCACGAGGGGCGCCAGCAGGACUGGCCAUGCCGGCUGCUACCCAAUUCAGGGGGCCUCUAGGAACCUUCUGGAGCCCUGGGGCUCUGCUGCCACCACCAAGGUUCUUUCGCCUUCACUCAAUCCAGCUGUGCUGUGCUAUCAGCGGUCGCCUGGAUUUCUAAAAUUUUCUUAAGCACCUGAUAAGAUGAUGGGGGAGGCUACCAGCUGCGAGCCAGACUCCGGAAGGAGAGGCUUUGGGAGCCCUUGUGCUUGGGGUGAUGAGUGGUGGAGGCGACGGUGAAUCCAAAGUCUGUACAUUCCGAGACUGGAGCCAGGAACAAAAAAGAUUCCACUGUUCGGAUGUUUUCGCCCCUGAGGCUGAAAUAACAGCGGAGGCCUGACUGCCCACGUGGUGUCUGUGGCCAGAAUAGGACCCACAUAAUAAUGGCUUAGAUCAGGGAAGGGCCUUUCCCAUUCCGUGAUGCAAUAUUGUCAUGACAGCAACAACAAGGCUCCGCCAGCUGAAGUAGGUACAUCAUGGCGCCUUGCCUCUGCCCUGCCCACACCUCUGUGCCUUCCAGUAGCAUUCCCUGGACGUGUGUGGAGUUGCAGGACUCCAGGGAAGUGCCAGGCUCCAGAGAGACCUGCCCUGGGCUCAUCCCCGAGGGACUGCUGGGCUGAGCUGGUUCACUCUUCCUGAGCCACCAUUCAGCAAACAGAGAGCUAUGUGGGUGGGCUAUCUCGUAGAGACACGAUUGUGCCCAUUCCUCUAUAACUGUCCCUGAGUUGUGACCACACUUUUGCAAGAAGUUUACCUUAAACAGCCCUAACAAAAUGGCACAGGCUAGUUAACCAAGGAACACAGGAUGUGAUAGACAGGAACCCACAAAGGGAUUCUGUGAGCCAGCUCAGAUUGAUUUUGUGAGGUACAUAAUCAUGGAUUUUGGGGAAAGAGGAGUCCAGAGCUGUAAGACUAGAUACAGACAACUGGACACAUCUGGAUACAGACAACUGGAAAGACUCCAGUCAAUAGGAGGAUGGGAAACAUCCUUCUCGGCACAGGUGAGUUGGAACCAAGAGUGCCAGGAUUUCAAGACCAUCCUCAGCUUAUAUCAAGUCAAAGGCUAGCAUGGCUAUGGGAGCCCCUCUCUCAGCCAACAGGGUAGGCAGAGUCCAUACCUAGUAAGCCUGAGGCCCUAGGUUCAAUUCCCGGCACAGAAGGAAGAACGGAAGGAAAGAAGGGAGGAAGGGAAGAAUUCAAAAACAGGCUUAGGAACAGCAAACGAAGGUAGAUUUCAAAUAUACAAAUU